rnacentral:rRNA from 1 species
GAGUGGGGGGGUGCUAUACUGCAGUCGAGCGGAUCUUCAUUAGCUUGCUUUUGAAGAUCAGCGGCGGACGGGUGAGUAACACGUGGGCAACCUGCCUGUAAGACUGGGAUAACUUCGGGAAACCGGAGCUAAUACCGGAUAAUCCUUUUCCUCUCAUGAGGAAAAGCUGAAAGACGGUUUCGGCUGUCACUUACAGAUGGGCCCGCGGCGCAUUAGCUAGUUGGUGAGGUAACGGCUCACCAAGGCGACGAUGCGUAGCCGACCUGAGAGGGUGAUCGGCCACACUGGGACUGAGACACGGCCCAGACUCCUACGGGAGGCAGCAGUAGGGAAUCUUCCGCAAUGGACGAAAGUCUGACGGAGCAACGCCGCGUGAGCGAUGAAGGCCUUCGGGUCGUAAAGCUCUGUUGUCAGGGAAGAACAAGUAUCGGAGUAACUGCCGGUACCUUGACGGUACCUGACCAGAAAGCCACGGCUAACUACGUGCCAGCAGCCGCGGUAAUACGUAGGUGGCAAGCGUUGUCCGGAAUUAUUGGGCGUAAAGCGCGCGCAGGCGGUUCCUUAAGUCUGAUGUGAAAGCCCCCGGCUCAACCGGGGAGGGUCAUUGGAAACUGGGGAACUUGAGUGCAGAAGAGGAGAGCGGAAUUCCACGUGUAGCGGUGAAAUGCGUAGAGAUGUGGAGGAACACCAGUGGCGAAGGCGGCUCUCUGGUCUGUAACUGACGCUGAGGCGCGAAAGCGUGGGGAGCGAACAGGAUUAGAUACCCUGGUAGUCCACGCCGUAAACGAUGAGUGCUAAGUGUUAGAGGGUUCCGCCCUUUAGUGCUGCAGCAAACGCAUUAAGCACUCCGCCUGGGGAGUACGGCCGCAAGGCUGAAACUCAAAGGAAUUGACGGGGGCCCGCACAAGCGGUGGAACAUGUG